GAUCCUUCUACAGGGUUCUGUAUAGAUUUCCAAAAAUAGACUUGAAUCCCAGGAAAUAUUUUGGACCUGGGGCAAACAGCUGAUACAUCUUAGUCAUGUACCUUAGAAGCCAGAAUGGAAAGGCGGCAUCCUUAUGUUUAAAUUUGCACACUUACCUUGAAGCAUCAAGCUCUAUCUGAACAUAUGAAAUUCAGACCACUAUUAGUUUGCUGUUCAUAAUGUCUUUUUGUUCCUAGUUUGGAGUUCAUAAUGUCUUUUUUCCAAGUGUUUAUUAUUGUUCCCCAAGAACCUAUAAUCUCAGGUGUUAUAAUGAGGGCAUCCCUACUGGGGAGCAGUUUUUAAAGAUCUUGUUCCUCUCCAGAACGUAUUCCCACACUUGAUAUGUCUCAACUUCUCAGGAAACAAGUUCUGCAACCUCACUUUCUGAUGAUCCCCAUGGGGACCCACAUCCAUGCAGUGAUUUUUCCACAGUUUAUUUUUUCAAGACCUGACAGAAGUCUGUGCAACUGGGGUAAGAAGUUACAGGAUCUUCAAAUCUCCAUGUCCUGAUCCCGUUUUAGAAGUUUUGGUUACUACUAGGUCCCAUGAUCCUAGCUUCAUGUGUUCUUUUCCAAAUGUAGCUACAUGCAAGAGUUCUUAAGUGUCCUGCUCAUCUCCUACCCAUCAACACAAGUUCUUCCCAGUCAUCUCCCAAUAUUUCUCCUCACAAUGUCACAAGACACACCCAUUCUGUAUCCCCCACAUGACCCUGUAAUUUUCCUAUUUUCCUACAGUGGAUGUCAUGCUGAAUCCAGCCAAUGUUAUUUCUGUUGUUAUCAUGUUUGAAGAUCAGAUACAAGUGACACUUACAUUUUAAGAUUUUUUAAAAUGUACAUCCACAUGAUUUCUCUGCUUUUGACGUCUUAGGCCACCAAAGUUUCCUCUCAGGGAAAUAUUACUGGGAGGUAGAAAUGUCUAGGAAGAUUGCCUGGAUCCUCGGGGUAUGAAGUAAAACAAGUAACCAAUAGAAAUGAGAUCUCUGGGUUUAUUUUUGGCCAAAAAGUUAAUCAUCCAAAUUUUUAUUCCAGAUACAGACCUCAAUAUGGCUACUGGGUUAUAGGGUUACAGAAUGAAUUUGAGUACAAUGCCUUUGAGGACUCUUCCAGCUCCUAUCCCCAGGUUUUGACUCUCCAUGGCUGUUCCUCCCGGGCUCAUUGUUUUUUUCCUAGACUAUGAAGCAAG
rnacentral:lncRNA from 1 species